rnacentral:lncRNA from 1 species
UCCCACUUUCUAUUUUUCUGUGCGUUGGUGCUUGUGAAUGUGAUUAGGGAAACUAAUGCGGGACGAACACCAUAAUUCAGAAUUUUUUUAUUAUAUGGCAUGUAUGGAAUCUCAGAUUUUUUUUUUUGGUUUCAUAGUUACUUAUCCCUCCCCAUAUAUUAAUCGAAGAUCAUUAAAAAAUGGACAAAUCUCCAAAAUAGCACCAAGUUUAUAUCACAAAAAUAGCACUCAAAAACUAAAAUGACCAAAAUAGCACCUUUCUAAGUUUAUCCUUUGAAAAUUUUAAUUUUUUUAUUUUUCAAAAUUUGAAAUCUUAUCCUCAAAACCUCAUUUCUCAACUCUAAACCCUAAACCCUAAACUCUAAACUCUAAACCCUAAACCCUAAACCCUAAACCCUAAACUCCACCCUUUAACUCUAA